UAGCCUUCCAGAGUGGGAGAGAACAGACCCAGGCUCCAGGGAAACUCACUGAGAAUGAAGAAGAACCAUGACUGGAGGACCAUAAACCCAUCAGUUCUGACGGCCUCUAAAGAUCUUAAACCAGCCCAAACAAGUCCUGGGAGGCAGAAGAUAGGCAAGACACAAGUUCCAGCCCUCAAGAGCUUAGACAUUAGUGGAGACAAGAAGAUAAACAUAAAUCCUGGUAUACUGAAAACUGAAGGGAGCUAAUCCUCACUCACGCUUUCUAAACAUUGAAAUAAAUGUUGAAA